UACGUAGGGCGCAAGCGUUGUCCGGAAUUAUUGGGCGUAAAGAGCUCGUAGGCGGCCUGUUGCGUCUGCUGUGAAAUCCCGGGGCUUAACCCCGGGCGUGCAGUGGAUACGGGCAGGCUGGAGGCAGGCAGGGGAGAACGGAAUUCCCGGUGUAGCGGUGAAAUGCGCAGAUAUCGGGAGGAACACCGGUGGCGAAGGCGGUUCUCUGGGCCUGUACUGACGCUGAGGAGCGAAAGCGUGGGGAGCGAACAGGAUUAGAAACCC
rnacentral:rRNA from 1 species